UGACUGAAUGUUAUGGAGUUAUGGGGUAAAAACAGCAAAAAUGGUGACAAAGGGGUCAAAAGUUAAAGUUGCUCCAGUUUUGGUAAAACGUGGUUCAGAUUAUUGGUUUAACUAAUAGUAUUAACAAAUGGAAUAGUUCUGACUGUGUUGAAUGUUUGGUCUCCAAAGCAAAGGUCAAACAAUG